GGAGGUGUAACUCAGUGGUAGAGUGCUUACCUAUCAUGUCAAGGCCCUGGGUUCAAUCCCCAGUAAUGCCC
rnacentral:tRNA from 1 species